GCCUGGGUGGCUCAGUUGGUUGAGUGUACGACUUUGGCUCAGGUCAUAAUCUCGUGGUUCGUGGGUUCAAGCCCCACAUCGGGCU
rnacentral:tRNA from 1 species